rnacentral:rRNA from 1 species
CCAUGCUACUCGGAACGUGCCCAAUCUCGUCUGAUCUCAGAAGCUAAGCAGGGUCGGGCCUGGUUAGUACUUGGAUGGGAGACCAUCUAGGAAGACCAGGUGCUGUAGGAG